rnacentral:rRNA from 1 species
GACGAACGCUGGCGGCGUGCUUAACACAUGCAAGUCGAACGAUGAUGCCCAGCUUGCUGGGUGGAUUAGUGGCGAACGGGUGAGUAACACGUGAGUAACCUGCCCCUGACUCUGGGAUAAGCGUUGGAAACGACGUCUAAUACUGGAUAUGACUACUGGUCGCAUGGCCUGGUGGGGGAAAGAUUUUUUGGUUGGGGAUGGACUCGCGGCCUAUCAGCUUGUUGGUGAGGUAAUGGCUCACCAAGGCGACGACGGGUAGCCGGCCUGAGAGGGUGACCGGCCACACUGGGACUGAGACACGGCCCAGACUCCUACGGGAGGCAGCAGUGGGGAAUAUUGCACAAUGGGCGAAAGCCUGAUGCAGCAACGCCGCGUGAGGGAUGACGGCCUUCGGGUUGUAAACCUCUUUUAGUAGGGAAGAAGCGAAAGUGACGGUACCUGCAGAAAAAGCACCGGCUAACUACGUGCCAGCCGCCGCCGUAA